UCUGAUUAUGAUACUUUCACAUGCUCCCCCUCACAGGCUCUCUCUCACACACACACACACACGCACACGCACACACAAUUGCCAGCUCACUGAUGCUGUCUCUCUCACUUUCACACACACACACACACACACACACACACACACACACACACACACACACACACACACACACACACAGAGAGAGAGCGAGAGAGAGAGAGAGAGAGAGAGAGCUGUCAUUAGCCCCGUUAGCAUCAUUAGCAUCAUUAGCAGCCAAGGUCAGUGUUUGAAGCCAGACAGACGAGCGACCUCCAUCUUCCUUCAUCAGCCUUUCAAAAUGUCUCCAAACCACAGCUAAAAGUUACAGCUGCUAUCAGGCCAUGAGAGGAAGGGGUGAAGGAAAGGAAGAAAGGAGAAAGGAAAGUCAAGGAAAGGUGGAGGAGGUGAAAAGAGAGCAAAACAAAGUGUGCUUCAUCCGAUGAAGUCAGAAAACCGAACAAAAACAAGAGGAUGUUAAAAGAAGAGGGGAAAGGUGGAUGGAUGUCAUUGUAAGGAAAAAAAGGAAGAAGGGAGGGAUUUGCACAGGAAAAAAUGGGAAAGAGAAGGAGGAAUAUGGAGGAGAAGAGGGGAGGGAAUGAGUUAAAAGAUGAGGUGGAAAAGAAAGAAAAUCUACUGAUGCAAAACUAAGAGAGAGCAAAAUAAGUGGAUUUAAAAGGAAAGACCAAAAAAAAAAUUUGAGACAGAAAGGGAAAAGAAGUGGUGGAGGAAAUAAUAUAUCUAGGAGUGUGAGGGGGAAAGGAUGAAAGACAAAACUGGGAUUUUAAAGAAAAAAAAAUAGUUGAAAUUGAAGAAAUGGAGGGCUGUAUGAAAGAGAAGAGAGAAAUAGAGGGAUAUAAAAGAAAAGAGGUAUAAGGAAGGAAAAGAAAAGGAGGGUUGAGCAAAAGUUGAAAGACAAGAUAGGGGGAUGAGGAUGGAAAUUUAGAGAGAAGAAAAUGAGGGUAGAAAGAAAAAAAAGUGAUAGAGCGAUCUGAACAAAAAGAAGAUAAAAAUGAAAAAAGAGAAUGUAAAAAUAAAGAAAAGGAAAAGUGGUCGGAGGGAUAGACGAGAAUAAAUUCAGGUAAAAGAAAGGUAAAACUACAGAGUGAAAUUAGAUGGUGUAAGAAAAAAAAAACAUAAUCUUGUUGCUCCUUUGACCCAAGACUUUCCAGGACUCUAUAAAUGAGUGUUUCCCUCCAUCUUUCUUCAGCAGCAAAAAGGGAUUCACCAGGACUCCUCUGAGGAUUAAUUAACAAGAUGAAAAAAGACCUCAUGGACGGAUGUCCGUGGAUUACUGGGCCUCACGUUUGCUGUGAAAUGACAUCACCUCUGUGUCUUUGUGGGGACUCUAAGUUUGUAAUUCCACCUUUAUCUUGAAAGCAUGGAUGCCAGCUAUUGAAUAAGAUUAAACUAAUUCAUUUAUUUUAAAUCUUUUUUAUCAUUUGGAGAUCAUCUAUAAAGCUUGUGUUGUGUGUAACUUUGCAUGUUUUGAUAUAAUCUCCUAUAUUUAAUUUAACUCAGCAUUCAGUUUCAACAACCACAAAAACUGAUCAGAGACAAAAGUAAAGACUUCACCUCGUAAACCUGGUGCUUCUUAGCCCAUAGAGGGUGCCACGACUGCAGGUCAUUGUUUGUGAUUGGCCCACAGGGGUAUGUAUACCGAAGUGGCAAAAUGAAGUGUGCCCCUGCCUCAUUUAUAGAGUUUUCAUGAGAAAUUUAAUAAUCAAAGUUUUUACCUUUAAACAUGUAUUUAAAGUGGGGGAAUAGAUCCUAUAAAAGAGAUAUCAGGAUGUUUUCAGCUAAAAUAGCAGAAAUUAAACUGCUUUUUGCUGCUUUUCAGGCCCAAAUUCAGAGACUGCAUUUCUUUAAAAGAAACUGAAACUAAGAUUUGAACUGAGGGGAAACUUGUCUUUCUCUCUUAUCCUCCUCCUCCUCUUUCUCUCUCUCUCUCUCUCUCUCCAUCUUUCUGGCUCUCUGUGGUUAGUGUGUGUGUGUGUGUGUGUGUGUGUGUGUGUGUGUGUGUGUGUGUGUGUGUGUGUGUGUGUGUGUGUGUGUGUGUGACAGAGGCCCCGGGCUGACUAAUGGCUGUGGGCGAGAUGUCUGGAGGACGGAUCGGCCCCUCUAAUUCACUGCUGCUGGACACACUGGAUUUAACCCGGACUGACUGCAAGUGUGUGUCUGACGCAGUGUGUGUAAAUGUGUUUGAAAGCUGGAAACAGAGAGGGAGACGGAGUCUGUUCUGCUGUUUGAGUACACACAUGUACAUGUGCGUGUGUGCGUUCCCAGAGAAAGCCUAUUGAAAAGCCUCACUCCAGUCUAUCAGAUUAGCUCCAUUAGCGGAUUAGCCGGAUUAGCGGGUUAAUUGCACUCUGCUGCUGCGUUGGUGCACAGAGGCUAAUGACGGCUAACGCUGUUAAUCACACACACAGCCGCGUUAGCCAGCUACAGCCACGUCUGGCAACAUGGCACACAUAGGGGGGAAGCAGCGUGCAGUAGCUUCCCAUGAGGAUUAGG
rnacentral:lncRNA from 1 species